rnacentral:rRNA from 1 species
GUUGAAAAGAACUCUGAAUAGAGAGUUAAAUAGUACGUGAAACUGCUUAGAGGUUAAGCCCGAUGAACCUGAAUAUCCAUUAUGGAAAAUUCAUCAUUAUGAUUUUAUAUUAUAAUAAUGGUGUGCAUUUUUUCUAUAAAGGACAUUGUAAUCUAUUAGCAAAAUUUAUCAUAAGAUCAGCGUAAGUUUAUUCAAAUUAUUUUGCUCGCAAUUUAACAUAGAAUAAAUGCUUUUGAUUUGAUAAAGUGCUGAUAGAUUUAGUAUAGUGCUUAAAUAAUAUUUUAUAAUAGCAUAUUAAUUAUUAAUUUGUAUGUUUAUUAUAUGCACUUAUAUGAUUAACAAUGCGAAAGAUUCAGGAUACCUUCGGGACCCGUCUUGAAACACGGACCAAGGAGUCUAACAUAUUUGCAAGUUAUUGGGUAAAACCUAAUAGCGAAAUUAACAUAACAACAUGGGAUUAGUUUUUAGUCCUAUUAAUACAAUCCCGGGGCGUUCUAUACAGUUAUGUAUAAUAGUAUUUAUAUUAUUUAUACCUCUAACUAGAGCGUACCUUGAGCAUAUAUGCUGUGACCCGAAAGAUGGUGAACUAUACUUGAUCAGGUUGAAGUCAGGGGAAACCCUGAUGGAAGACCGAAACAGUUCUGACGUGCAAAUCGAUUGUCAGAAUUGAGUAUAGGGGCGAAAGACCAAUCGAACCAUCUAGUAGCUGGUUCCCUCCGAAGUUUCCCUCAGGAUAGCUGGUGCAUUUAAAGAUUAUGUAAAAUAAUCUUAUCUGGUAAAGCGAAUGAUUAGAGGCCUUAGGGUCGAAACGACCUUAACCUAUUCUCAAACUUUAAAUGGGUAAGAACCUCACCUUUCUUGGUAUGAAGGUAGUGGUUGUGAUAUAAUGUGCCCAGUGGGCCACUUUUGGUAAGCAGAACUGGCGCUGUGGGAUGAACCAAAGCGUAAUGUUACGGUGCCCAAAUUAACAACUCAUACAGAUACCAUGAAAGGCGUU